rnacentral:rRNA from 1 species
GAUGAACGCUGGCGGCGUGCCUAAUACAUGCAAGUCGAGCGAACAGAUAAGGAGCUUGCUCCUUUGACGUUGGCGGCGGACGGGUGAGUAACACGUGGGUAACCUACCUAUAAGACUGGAAUAACUCCGGGAAACCGGGGCUAAUGCCGGAUAACAUUUAGAACCGCAUGGUUCUAAAGUGAAAGAUGGUUUUGCUAUCACUUAUAGAUGGACCCGCGCCGUAUUAGCUAGUUGGUAAGGUAACGGCUUACCAAGGCAACGAUACGUAGCCGACCUGAGAGGGUGAUCGGCCACACUGGAACUGAGACACGGUCCAGACUCCUACGGGAGGCAGCAGUAGGGAAUCUUCCGCAAAGGGCGAAAGCCUGACGGAGCAACGCCGCGUGAGUGAUGAAGGUCUUCGGAUCGUAAAACUCUGUUAUUAGGGAAGAACAAAUGUGUAAGUAACUGUGCACGUCUUGACGGUACCUAAUCAGAAAACCACGGCUAACUACGUG